GGCUGCGUGGCCUAGUGGCUACGGCGCUGGUCUUCGACUACAGGCUCGUAAAUGGCUCGCAAUGGUCAAGGGGCUUGUAAUGGUCAACCAGAGAUCGUGGGUUCGACCCCCACCGUGGUCG
rfam:Rhodotorula graminis WP1 unplaced genomic scaffold RHOBAscaffold_16, whole genome shotgun sequence.